rnacentral:rRNA from 1 species
UACAGAGGUCCCAAGCGUUUGUUCGGAUUCACUGGGCGUAAAGGGUGCGUAGGUGGUGAGGUAAGUCGGAUGUGAAAGCUCGGAGCUCAACUCCGAAAUGGCAUUGGAAACUACCUUGCUCGAGGGUUGGAGGGGGGACUGGAAUGCUUGGUGUAGCAGUGAAAUGCGUAGAUAUCAGGAGGAACACCGAUGGCGAAGGCAGGUCUCUGGGCAUUAACUGACGUGAGGAGCGAAAGCAUGGGGGAGCGAACAGG